GAGGACGGAGGUCCGUCGUGUGUCUCCCGUUUGUUUGUUCCGCUGCUGGUUAUUCUCCGGCAAAGGCGCGCGCGCGCGUGUGUUACGACGAAACCGUGUUUCGAAAGGGCGUCCGGAGGUGUUGUGUUUUGUUUUGGGACAGCAGCGAAGGUUGCGAAGGUGCGAAAAACGCAAGGGGAGGAAUCGCAAGGCACCAAAAAACCAGCCGCAUGUGCACCCCAUAAUUUUGCAUAAGUAGGUUCGUCGCCAGAAGAAGCAUGCUGUGAAAAUUGUGUAUUCGUACGUGCGCAUGUGUGUGCAAGUGUGUGUGUGUGUAUACACGGUGAAAAUGCCGGGCUUUUCCGUUGCGUGAAAAAGUGAAAGUGUAAUGCUCGUGUAGCGAGAAAGAGAGUGAGGUAAAAGAAGGCAGAAAGGUCGGAAGCAACAACGGAAAUACAUAUCCUUCCGCAUUUAAGGAUACCGCCCGCCGGUGCCCGGUGUGCCAAGUGGUUGAUCGUCACCACUCGAGAGCAAUUCGUUUCCAGUGAAUUUGUGUACGUAAAAUUCUGACGAGAAAAUCGUACGUGCGCGUGUGUGUGUGUGUGUGUGUGUUUGUGCACCGUGUAGAAGGCAGAAGUGAAAAUUGAAUAGAAAAAGAAGGAAAUCUUUGAUUGGCUAAACCCAAAAUUGGAUACAGCUCGCGGUGAUAGUCAGCUGGCGGCAGUUCGAACGCAACGACGUCGAGACGACUCACAGUGAGUGUCUGUGUGUGUGUAUGUGUGUGUGCCUCGAGCAAUUGACCCCGCAUUUAAGAUAAGGUACGGCGACGAGUCAGCAACCUUCUGACAGUAACGGCACCGCUCCUCUUGUUAGCAUAAGCAACGGCAACGCCACGAACUCGGACUUGAGAUUUGGACUUGGGAAACGGUAAAACGAUAUGUUUCACUUGCACACGGACGGGGCUGCGAUAAACGC